GACGAACGCUGGCGGCGUGCUUAACACAUGCAAGUCGAACGGUGAAGCCCAGCUUGCUGGGUGGAUCAGUGGCGAACGGGUGAGUAACACGUGAGUAACCUGCCUCUGACUCUGGGAUAAGCCUUGGAAACGGGGUCUAAUACUGGAUACGAGACGCUCGGGCAUCCGAAGUGUCUGGAAAGAUUUAUCGGUCAGAGAUGGACUGGCGGCCUAUCAGGUUGUUGGUGGGGUAAUGGCCUACCAAGGCGACGACGGGUAGCCGGCCUGAGAGGGCGACCGGCCACACUGGGACUGAGACACGGCCCAGACUCCUACGGGAGGCAGCAGUGGGGAAUAUUGCACAAUGGGCGCAAGCCUGAUGCAGCGACGCCGCGUGAGGGAUGACGGCCUUCGGGUUGUAAACCUCUUUCAGCAGGGAAGAAGCGAAAGUGACGGUACCUGCAGAAGAAGCGCCGGCUAACUACGUGCCAGCCGCCGCGGUAA
rnacentral:rRNA from 1 species